rnacentral:lncRNA from 1 species
GUCCACUCCCUCCUGGUUACCUGCUCACCUGAAGCAGGUAAGAGCCUGCUUGACCUCCUAAGGAGGCACUUCUGAGGCAGGAGAAUAGAAAAUUAGCAUAAACUAAGGGUUAAGGUGGAAGCAAAAGAACAGCAGGUGCAGCAAGUUCUAGGCCAGGUUAAGCAGCACACAGGCCACAUCCUCACUCCUGUGAUAACAACACAGAAGUCUCCAGUUCAGCCUCUGAGUUUAGCCACGGGCCAAUCCUUCACAGUGUGUAACCAAUUGGAGGCCUCGAAAGGGCACUUAUUGGUGUUAUCAAAUUCUUUAGCUUAAUAAAAACUCUAAAGAACAUUGUAAUCUGGGCUCUUCAGCCGCUUGCUCUAGCCGGCUCUGGCUCUGUAGAGUGGACUUUCGCUUAAAUAAAUCUGCGGUUUCGUUGCUUCUUUCUUCUUUCGUGGCUUCGUUCUUUUGUUGCUUCGUGUAGUUUGUUUAAUGCUUUCUUCAACGAGCCAGAAACGUGGACAACUUACAGUCAAGACCUUCCAUCCAGUAACAGUUCUACACUCUAGAAGUAUCAGUAUCGCCAAGAGAUGUCAAGACAUCAAGGGGUCAAGUGUGGUAUAAGACCUAAGAUUAAGGCUCAAUAUUAUAUGUGCCCUGACACUGGGGGGAAAACAAGGAGGCCUGAAUGGAUUAACUGCAAAGUCCUUGCCCCGUUGUACUCCUUUGAAUAAGGUGCCCUAGCCGAAUCACUUCCCUCAGAGGACCGGCACAUUACCUGCUUACUGCAUAGUAGCGGGCGUCAGGUUCCAGCCAGCCUGCAGAAUUAUUCAAACAGGCCAAUCACACCCUCCUUCAAGAACCAGGGGUUACCUCCCAUACUCUUGCUACUAGAAAGCCUCCUGGUAUAGCCUCCACCUGAUUACUCUGUUCCUAAGUGCAACACGGUAUCCCGUAUGGUGUGCUGGGCCCUCCUUCCCUGGGGCGAAAGUAUGGGUAAUUAGCAAACCAAUGUUCAUCUCAUUUAUCCAGUGUUAGCUACCAUGUGCUUUGCAAUAAUCUGCACUUCCUUUCUAAUUCUUGAGAGACAUCCGGGUCCUCUGCUCCUGGGUGGGGGAUUUUUAGAAAAAGGGCCACUCAGAAUGGGCAGGUGACUUGAACGCCUGCGGGUCUGACACAGCACCAAACCUCGCCAAGGCCUUCAGAAACUAAAAGUGCAACCGCCAGGAAAAUGACUGCCGGUUCCGGUCACACAACCGGCUACACGACCCAGGCAGAGACCGAGAAAGAGGCUCACCAAAAAGGACGACGUGCAAGAAACCGCCCUCCAGCGAACAGGGGACGUUCGUCCGAAGACAUACAUGCACACCCCCAUUCACACACACAGCCCCAGCAAUUUUUUUCAGGAGCUGCAGCCUGACCCAGAGUAGAGCGCAGUCAGCCUUGCCAAAGCGCAUGCGCGAAUCAUCAGCGGAUGCUCAAGUCACAGAGACCGCCACCGUUGCCUGGAGAUGAGUCCUUGACGCUUCGCGAAGGAGGAGCCUUCUGUGGCAGCACGUCGAACUCCGGGCUAAGGCCAGUCCUCGCCACGGGGUCGACAGGAUGGUAUCCGGAGGCCAGGAUUCGCGGAGGGUCGACCAGGAGGAAGAAACCUCAGGAGGAGCGCCUGGGAAGCACCGCAGGAUCCCAGGCUCAGGCCUGAGCGAACGGUGUGCCGGUGAGUUUCCCCAAAAGUCGUGUCUUUGCGAUCUCGAGGACAGGUCUGCUUGUAUGCCCAAGGGCUGCUCUCUCACCCCAGGGUCGUUGUCGCGGAAAGCAGAACCCAGAGGCUUCAGGGGCUGCCUGAGGGUGAAUGUUACUGUGCCACUGCAGUGUGUCUGGGUUCUGUCUCUUUCUUUCUCUUAUUUCUCUCUGUCUCCUUUCUCUAUCGAUCUCUACCUGUUUCCGUCUGUGUGUGCUCGUGUGCGUGUGUGUUUGGAUGCAUAUGCGCUGAAGAGCAGUUUCUUGUACGGCCUUUCUUCUGGUGAGCCUCUCCCCGCGUCUCUGCCUGGGUCAUCUGGCCGGUUAUCAUUCGUUUUCCCGGUGGUUCCAGUUUGGGUUCGUGACGGCCUGGACAACGUGGGGAGUUGCGUCGGACCCGCAGGGGAUUAAAUCGGCUCCCCAUCGUGAGCGGGCUCAUUGCUAGUAUCAAGACGACCACACUCCAGCAAAGGACAAAAUUCUCACAGAAGCUCAAUAUCCACCUGCAUGAGAGGUGCCCACCGACCUCAAAGAAGAUGGGUCUCACUCCUCUCGCCCUAUGCCCUCAUUGAGAUAUCUAGACACUGCUGGAAACAAGGAAAGAAAAGAACGCCCGGUACUGGAUGUAGCAAGCAUCUCUGCACUCGAAUACUGGCCUUCUUGGCCAAAUCACCGGUUUGGCACUCAUUCACACAUGCCCAAGGUGGUGGGCUCUGGCCUCUGCUCUGUCCUCCCUCUUGCUCUGUCUGCCCUGUUUCUGAGAAGCCUAGAGGCUUCUUUGGCUGAAUGUCUUCAACAAAGAAGACUUCCCAGUCCAUCAGGGAGAAACUUCGUGAGGAUGGGUUUCAUGAUUGUUUCCCUCUCCAAACCUAUUUCUGGAUGAUUGGGCAGGAAGCCCGGAGCUCUGGGCUUCCAUACCUGUCUGGGACAAGGAAGCUCCCUUGGUAUCCAUGUCACAAGUGAUGGCUGCCUGACUGGUACAGGAAGAGCAGGAGGCGAAGGUGGCUGGCCUCUUACCUUCUAGGAAAUGUGGUGUUGUAUCAUACCUGCCUUUCCUCUCUGAUUCUUCAGGGCCAUCUGGCUCCUCUGCUCCUGGGGAAAGUGCCUUGAGGCACUGAAUCUCCUGGCUGCCACGGAUGUCAGGAAGCAAAAGGGACAGGGUUUUGCUGGGUGCAGGAGAGGCAGCAUCAGUGGUACCUACCCAGUGGCGGCGUGAAGUUGAGGUGUAUUUUGUCGAAACCUCUCGGCUCCUCUGGCAGGCGUCCCUGAAUGUGGCUUGGACUCGGGCACAGGCCCUGUCUCGCAGGUUUUCCGGUGUGCUAGGCUUUUCCUCAGCUUUGUGCAGGAGGUCUCCAGUGGUCCGCGGGCGCAUCCCGGAACACCACUGUCCGUCUCAGCAUCUCUCCAUACGGCCUCGGAGACAGAAGCUCACUCCAUCUGCUCUUCGGGGAUGCCAGUGCCACCUGUGGUCCCACUGGCUCCCCCUCGGACUCGCCUGUCUCUCUCUGCACAUGUCAAGCAAAGCAGCGUAGGGAUUCCGGACCCGCUGGGCCUUAAAGAUUAAAGCAGGCCACCGUUUCACCAAAGAAAGUGGGAGCCAGUGGACUCACGGGUCAGUGUAAUUUCAGUAGACACCACAUCUUGGGGCCCAUGGGAUCUUUCUGUGCCCCAGCGAGACCUUUCCCACCUCACUACAUCAUAACGCCAUUACUGAUCACCGGGUCGGAUCCAUAAUCAGAUCCGAAGAGGACUCCGGAGAGGCCAGCCGGCGCCCUGAAGCUACUCCGCCACUGGGAAUUGAAGCAGAAGACAGAUCAAGGAGGUCUUGACCACGGGAAUCCCAUGGGUCCGACCCUGGGUCUCCCACAUGAAGCUCUCCCAUUCCUCACCCCACACGAUACCUCCAACACUGCUGCGGCCGUCGACACCCCACUCCCAGCAGCAGCAGCGUCGGCGCCAUUUUGCAAAGGAUCCCCGACCUUAGUCUCCGGAGUAACAAGGGUGGGGGGCGGGGGAGUCGGCCUCGCCAGUGCGCAUGCGCGAGGUCCGAGCUGCCGCUUUGGUCACAGGGACCGCCACAGUUGCCCCGGGAUGAUGGGUCCCUGAGACCUGGGAAAGUAGGAGCUCUUUGGGAUAGUGCGUCAGAGUCGGGGUUCAGACCAGUCCUGGGCAGGGAAGUUAACACUGCGGUCUCCGGAACCCGGGAUUCGCGGAAGGUACACCACCAGGAAGAAACAACAGCAGCAAGAAAUCUCAGACAGAUCGCCGGGGAGGCAGCGCGGGAAUCCAGCCUCAGGAGUGCGCGGACGGUGUGCCGUGCACACAACCAAGCUUAGGAGCCGACUGUUAAGAUGCCCAAGUGACACGGACAAGUUUCUCCUCUGCAACCCAAUGAGAUCUGCUGACCACGAGAGCAUCGCGGGACCGCCAAAGGAUUCUGGAAAAUGUGGUCCCGGGUGGCCAGUGUGCGCUGACCUUCACCUGAAGGUACGGCUUGAAGGAAACUUCUGGAGGGUGGGGUGGUGUUGAAGAGAAGGCACAGUUGUAACCAUUUUGUUCAACAUGGGCGUUUUCUUUGUGCAUUGAUUUGCAUUUUUAAAGGUAUUCCAUUAAAAAUAUGUUUAUCUAUUUUAAUUUUUUUUUGGUGCCCCUUUAAAUUCUCUAUCCACAGUCCUGAGCCUUAAUACGAAGUGAGGGCCUGGCCUCUGGGCAUCAAGCAGCCAGAAAGUCCCUUAGGAGCUUUCUCUGAAUUGUUGAAUUGUGACUGAUCUUUUCCUUUCCUGACUUCCUUAAUAUCCACAAUUUCCUCGUAACCAUCCCCCCAAAGCCACACCCACAAGGCACCUCCAAGACCUAUCAUGAAGCGGAUAUUCAAAGAUUAUUUUUAAAUCUUCACACCCCACCCCUUCCAGAAUGUCUUCCAACAUCCCUUCGCCUGGAGAAAUAAAACACAAGGUUUGCAUGUUGAGUAUCAGCCUCUCCCAUUGGGUGGGUGUUUAGGAAAAAGAAUCAGCCAAGAGCCCUAUUCCAGCCCAGGUAAAUGACUUUGCCAAAGAUUUAAUAUCCACAAAUGUACAAUGCUCACUGGGAACCAAAGUCAGGCAUGGGGCUGGGCUUUAAGGAGCACAAACUAAAAGGAGGGACUAGAAAACUUCAGAAAGGUAUUGGUGGGGGAUGUUGCGGGGGGACAGGGGACAGCGAGGAUGUGGGAUCCCGAGAUAAUCCAAAUCCCUAUGUGUAGACAUAUGCGUAUAAAGGCCUUUAAGAGACUCAGGCUGAUGGGGUAUCUGUAAUAAAUCAAACAUAAUAUAACAGCACGUCAAGUGAUAAGGGGACUCUGGAAAAACAGAACAAGCAGCAAAAGGAGCAGUAUCAAACUCCACAGAAACUCACAAACAUCAAGACACCAAGAAAGCUGCAUUCAUUUAAAUCAAGGUGACAGGCUGGGCUCUGUAGCUCCAGCCUGUAAUCCUAGCACUUUGGGAGGCCAUGGUGGGCAGAUCAUUUGAGGUUCAAGACCAGCCUGGCCAUUAUGGUGAAAGCUCCUCUCUACUAAAAAUACAAAAAUUAGCUGGGCAUGUUGGUGGGUGCCUGUAAUCCCAGCUAAAGAGGCUGAGGCAGGAGAAUCACUCUGAACCUGGGAGGCAGAGGUUGUAGUGAGCAGAGAUCACGCCAUUGCACUCCAGCCUCGGGUACAGAACCAAACUCCAUCUCAAGUAAAUCAAUAAAUCAAAGGUGACAGUUACUAAGUGAUGCGGGCCAGGUACAACGAUAUACCUUCAUCUGGGUUACCCUCGUGAAUCUGAAUCACUUGUGUGAUAUCUGUGCUUUAACGAGUCCUAU